rnacentral:tRNA from 1 species
AGAGUUUUAAGUUAACUAAACUAGUAGCCUUCAAAGCUGAAAAUAAACUAUGUUUAAGCUCU